rnacentral:rRNA from 1 species
CUGCGGCAGGCUUACCAUGCCAGUCGAACGAUGAUUACCAGCUUGCUGGUAUGAUUAGUGGCGAACGGGUGAGUAAUGCUUAGGAAUCUGCCUGGUAGUGGGGGACGACAUUCCGAAAGGAAUGCUAAUACCGCAUACGACCUACGGGUGAAAGGGGGCGCAAGCUCUCGCUAUCAGAUGAGCCUAAGUCGGAUUAGCUAGGUGGUGGGGUAAAGGCCUACCAAGGCGACGAUCUGUAGCUGGUCUUAGAGGAUGAUCAGCCACACUGGGACUGAGACACGGCCCAUACUCCUACGGGAGGCAGCAGCGGGGAAUAUUGGACAAUGGGCGAAAGCCUGAUCCAGCCAUGCCGCGUGUGUGAAGAAGGCCUUUUGGUUGUAAAGCACUUUAAGUGGGGAGGAAAAGCAACUGGUUAAUACCCAGUUGCCCUGACGUUACCCACGGAAUAAGCACCGGCUAACUCUGUGCCAGCAGCCGCGGUAAU